AGUCAAGUAAUUAAGUGCAUGUGGUGGAUGCCUUGGCAGUCAGAGGCGAUGAAAGACGUGAUAGCCUGCGAAAAGCUCCGGGGAGGCGGCAAAUAUCCUUUGAUCCGGAGAUGUCUGAAUGGGGAAACCCACCUACUUUAAGGUAGGUAUUGCAACAUGAAUACAUAGUGUUGCAAGGCGAACGAGGGGAAGUGAAACAUCUCAGUACCCUUAGGAAAAGAAAUCAAUUGAGAUUCCCUCAGUAGCGGCGAGCGAACGGGGAUCAGCCCAUUAAGUUAUGUGUGUUUUAGUGGAACGCUCUGGGAAGUGCGAACGUAGAGGGUGAUAUUCCCGUACACGAAAGGGCACACAUAAUGAUGACGAGUAGGGCGAGGCACGUGAAACCUUGUCUGAAUAUGGGGGGACCAUCCUCCAAGGCUAAAUACUCCUGACUGACCGAUAGUGAACCAGUACCGUGAGGGAAAGGCGAAAAGAACCCCUGUGAGGGGAGUGAAAUAGAUCCUGAAACCGCAUGCAUACAAGCAGUGGGAGCACCUUCGUGNNNNNNNNNNNNNNNNNNNNNNNNNNNNNNNNNNNNNNNNNNNNNNNNNNNNNNNNNNNNNNNNNNNNNNNNNNNNNNNNNNNNNNNNNNNNNNUUGUGGUGUGACUGCGUACCUUUUGUAUAAUGGGUCAGCGACUUAUAUUCAGUAGCGAGGUUAACCGUAUAGGGGAGCCGUAGAGAAAUCGAGUCUUAAUAGGGCGUUUAGUUGCUGGGUAUAGACCCGAAACCAGGCGAUCUAUCCAUGAGCAGGUUGAAGGUUGGGUAACACUAACUGGAGGACCGAACCCACUGUCGUUGAAAAGCCAGGGGAUGACUUGUGGAUAGGGGUGAAAGGCUAAUCAAGCCUGGUGAUAGCUGGUUCUCCCCGAAAGCUAUUUAGGUAGCGCCUCGGACGAAUACCAUAGGGGGUAGAGCACUGUUUCGGCUAGGGGGUCAUCCCGACUUACCAAACCGAUGCAAACUCCGAAUACCUAUGAGUACUAUCCGGGAGACAGACUGCGGGUGCUAACGUCCGUAGUCAAGAGGAAAACAAUCCAGACCGCCAGCUAAGGCCCCAAAAUCAUAGUUAAGUGGGAAACGAUGUGGGAAGGCAUAGACAGCUAGGAGGUUGGCUUAGAAGCAGCCACCCUUUAAAGAAAGCGUAAUAGCUCACUAGUCGAGUCGGCCUGCGCGGAAGAUGUAACGGGGCUAAAACUAUGUGCCGAAGCUGCGGAUGUAUACUUUGUAUACGUGGUAGGGGAGCGUUCUGUAAGCCGAUGAAGGUGUGUUGAGAAGCAUGCUGGAGGUAUCAGAAGUGCGAAUGCUGACGUGAGUAACGACAAAACGGGUGAAAAACCCGUUCGCCGAAAGACCAAGGGUUCCAGUCCAACGUUAAUCGGGGCUGGGUGAGUCGACCCCUAAGGCGAGGCCGAAAGGCGUAGUCGAUGGGAAAAUGGUUAAUAUUCCAUUACUUCUGUGUAAUGCGAUGAGAGGACGGAGAAGGCUAAAUCAGCCUGGCGUUGGUUGUCCAGGUGAAAGGAUGUAGGCAUGUAUCUUAGGCAAAUCCGGGGUACUCUAUGCUGAGAUCUGAUAGCAAGCUGUACUUGUACAGCGAAGUGGUUGAUGCCAUGCUUCCAGGAAAAGUCUCUAAGCUUCAGUUACACAGGAAUCGUACCCGAAACCGACACAGGUGGUCAGGUCGAGUAGACCAAGGCGCUUGAGAGAACUCUGCUGAAGGAACUAGGCAAAAUGGUACCGUAACUUCGGGAGAAGGUACGCUGUUGUUGGUGAUGGAACUCGCUUCCUGAGCUGACGACAGCCGCAGAAACCAGGCCGCUGCAACUGUUUAUUAAAAACAUAGCACUCUGCAAACACGAAAGUGGACGUAUAGGGUGUGAUGCCUGCCCGGUGCUGGAAGGUUAAUUGAUGGGGUUAGCGUAAGCGAAGCUCUUGAUCGAAGCCCCAGUAAACGGCGGCCGUAACUAUAACGGUCCUAAGGUAGCGAAAUUCCUUGUCGGGUAAGUUCCGACCUGCACGAAUGGCAUAAUGAUGGCGGCGCUGUCUCCAGCAGAGGCUCAGUGAAAUCGAAAUCGCUGUGAAGAUGCAGUGUACCCGCGGCUAGACGGAAAGACCCCGUGAACCUUUACUGCAGCUUGACACUGAACUUUGACCUUACUUGUGUAGGAUAGGUGGGAGGCUUUGAAGCUGGAACGCUAGUUCCAGUGGAGCCGUCCUUGAAAUACCACCCUGGUAAUGUUGAGGUUCUAACUCUGUCCCGUGAUCCGGGACGAGGACCGUGUCUGGUGGGUAGUUUGACUGGGGCGGUCUCCUCCUAAAGAGUAACGGAGGAGUACGAAGGUGCGCUCAGCGUGGUCGGAAAUCACGCGUAGAGUAUAAAGGCAAAAGCGCGCUUAACUGCGAGACCCACAAGUCGAGCAGGUACGAAAGUAGGUCUUAGUGAUCCGGUGGUUCUGUAUGGAAGGGCCAUCGCUCAACGGAUAAAAGGUACUCUGGGGAUAACAGGCUGAUACCGCCCAAGAGUUCAUAUCGACGGCGGUGUUUGGCACCUCGAUGUCGGCUCAUCUCAUCCUGGGGCUGAAGCAGGUCCCAAGGGUAUGGCUGUUCGCCAUUUAAAGAGGUACGCGAGCUGGGUUUAGAACGUCGUGAGACAGUUCGGUCCCUAUCUACCGUGGGCGCUGGAAAUUUGAGAGGAUCUGCUCCUAGUACGAGAGGACCAGAGUGGACGAACCUCUGGUGUACCGGUUGUGACGCCAGUCGCAUCGCCGGGUAGCUAUGUUCGGAAGGGAUAACCGCUGAAAGCAUCUAAGCGGGAAGCCUACCUCAAGAUAAGAUUUCCCUAGGACUUUAUGUCCUCUAAAGAGCCGUUCGAGACUAGGACGUUGAUAGGUUGGAUGUGGAAGCAUAGUGAUAUGUGAAGCUGACCAAUACUAAUUGCUCGUGAGGCUUGACUAU
rnacentral:rRNA from 1 species